GUUUUAAGGACUUAGGGUGACGGUCCCGGGGCCCAGAUGGGAGCUAGAGGUUCCGCGGGCCUGGCUACAAUGAGUGUGGUGAUGAGAGGGGACGCUUUGCAGGUUCCUUUUGAUACGUAAUGACACAUUGGGUGAAUGUGUCAAAAGGGGGAGUGGUAAAAUAGAAAUGGGUGAGUAGGUUUCAAUUUGUAAUUGUGAUUUACAGUUUUUUUUUUCAAAUUCACUUGUUUUUAAGCUUUAACAGGACUUGCCAGAAUUCAACUAGCAGUGAUGGAAGGAGCAGAGGAAGACCAGUGACAUCUGGUUGUGGUGUGGUGACAACAAAUUAUAUGAUCGCUUGCCGAAGGAUGCAUCAGGUAUCUGUGCCCUCGUGUCUUUGAUAAUGCCUGGAGUGGUUGUCCCCAUUGAAAUACAGAAUCUCAAUUGGAACAUGGAGUCCCCACUGGCGGGGCUCCUGAAGCGAGCCAAAAGAGACGUUUUGCCCCCAUGGUUGAGCGACAACGAUCCAACA